GACGAACGCUGGCGGCGUGGAUUAGGCAUGCAAGUCGAACGGUAGGAUACCUUCGGGUAUCUGAGAGUGGCGAACGGGUGAGUAACACGUAGGUGAUCUACCCUCAAGAUUGGGACAACCCAGGGAAACUUGGGCUAAUACCGGAUGAAAGCAGCAGUGAUGUUGUUUGAAAGGUGGCGUAAGCUGCCGUUUGGGGAUGAGCCUGCGCUCUAUUAGUUAGUUGGCGGGGUAAAGGCCCACCAAGGCGAUGAUAGAUAGGCGGCCUUAACGGGUGGUCGCCCACACUGGGAUUGAGAUACGGCCCAGACUCCUACGGGAGGCAGCAGUCGAGAAUAGUCUACAAUGGCCGAAAGGCUGAUAGUGCGACGCCGCGUGAACGAAGAAGCCCUUCGGGUGUAAAGUUCUUUUAUAUGUGAGCAGUGCUUUCUAUGUGAACAGCAUGGGGAGAGAGAUAUUAGCAUAUGAAUAAGCAACGGCUAACUCCGUGCC
rnacentral:rRNA from 1 species